rfam:Cathartes aura contig82642, whole genome shotgun sequence.
CCAAAGGCUCUUUUAAGAGCCACUCCCUUUUUCAGUAAAAGAGCUG